GGUAGCAGGCAGCCACCGACCGCUAAGAAGCGACGGAACGUGAAACGCUCUGUCCUCGUGGACUUAUUACUUUGAGAAAAUGAACGUGUGCAGAGACGGGCUUGCCGCACGCAGACCUGCUCACGCCCCGCAGAAGCUGUGCAGUCAAAGACCUCAGCAGCACUAAGAUGAGAGGACGGUGCUGCAGGCAGUUGGUCACCAAGCAAACACCUGCAGCUGAAGACGGUUCCGCGCGCGUGGCUCGGUGCCAGUUCCCACAGCACGGCUUCCGAGCAGCUCCCGCAGGCUCCCGCCAGCCUGCUCCGGGCAAAAAUCAGGGCAGGCGAAGAUGAGCAGCGAGGUCCUGGAAAGAGACCUCACUCUUCAGCCAAACGAGCUUCCAGAGGAAAACAUGUAAAAGGCAAUACGGCACAACGACAAUCAUGGACCGGUCUUCAAGCUCUGCUGGGGCAGAUCUCAUUCCAGUGUGGCUUGGCUAGGGACAAGCCCGAGUGGGAGUGGGUCGAAAAGAUUUCAGGUAGGUCCGGGAGGAACAGCCUGGGAAACGGGCUGACUUCUCCAGCUCCUCUGCCUCAGUGGUUACUGCCCACGGUCCCCUUGGUUAAACGCCGCAGCAACGCGCUGAGGCAGUCUGCGCUCAAGCACAAGCCUUCAACCGGCCCUUCCCCUCCCAUGAGGCCUCUUGGUGGCUCAGGGCAGCCACCACGGCAGCCAGCUGCAGUCAGUGCACAGCUCUGCCCCGGGGGGACAAGCCCCCCGCAACCCUGCCUGCACCCUCUGGACACCUUGGGGUCAGGAAGCCACUGAGGGGGUUUCUAAACACAGAUUAGUGAUGGCGGGAACUAACAGCAGGUUUAAACCUGGUCAAGUAACAAUAGGAGCCCCAACAUAUUUGGGCAACUCGCUCAACAAAUUUGAGUUGCUGGGAAAUGUUUCUUUAACCAUCUGGGAUAUAAGGAAAGCUCAUCCUCAAGAGCAAAAAGCAUCUGUACCACAGGCUACCCAGGGAGAAAGGGAGAUAAAGACAGGAAAAGACAACGAACAAUAAAUAAGCAGAACUGAAGUGUUAAUGUACA
rnacentral:lncRNA from 1 species